rnacentral:rRNA from 1 species
UACGGAGGGUGCAAGCGUUAUCCGGAUUCACUGGGUUUAAAGGGUGCGUAGGUGGGCAGGUAAGUCAGUGGUGAAAUCUCCGGGCUUAACUCGGAAACUGCCAUUGAUACUAUCUGUCUUGAAUACCGUGGAGGUUAGUGGAAUAUGUCAUGUAGCGGUGAAAUGCUUAGAUAUGACAUAGAACACCAAUUGCGAAGGCAGCUGGCUACACGAAUAUUGACACUGAUGCACGAAAGCGUGGGGAUCAAACGGG